GUAAGGCAGUGGAUGAGGUUAAGGGUUCCUGGGGUGGUUUAUUUGGGACACUGAUUACUAACAGUAAAAUGUCUACAAAUAUUUGAAUGUAGAUAGAACAUGGUGAGACUGGGCAUGAUUCAGAAAAGCUGGAAGAUCUAGAGAGGGAUCUUGCAAUCUGAAGUUUGUUUAGUCACUGGAGGAUUUGAACGUCUAUGACACUCUUCCGAGCUGACACAGUGAAGAACAUGGAAGGAGAACUCACCCAGUCUGCCAGGGUCACAGAUGAUCAUACUCAAGAUCUUCCUGGGGAGUCAACGGCAAAUUUCACUGGG
rnacentral:sRNA from 1 species